ensembl:rRNA 5S_rRNA 5S ribosomal RNA
UAUUACAGCCAUAUCACCAUGCAGCCUAAGACCGGUUACUUACUGAAGCUAAACAGUGCUGAGCAUGGUCGGUACCUGGAUGGGAGACCACAUGGAAAAAACUAGAUUGCUGUUGGAA